CGGAUUGGAGGCUGAAACCCGCCUCCAUGAAGUUGGAUUCGCUAGUAAUCGCGCAUCAGCCAUGGCGCGGUGAAUACGUUCCCGGGCCUUGUACACACCGCCCGUCAAGCCAUGGAAGCUGGGGGUGCCUGAAGUUCGUGACCGGAAGGAGCGACCUAGGGCAAAACCGGUGACUGGGGCUAAGUCGUAACAAGGUAUC
rnacentral:rRNA from 1 species